CGGGGUGGAGUAAUGUCUGGGAAGCUGCCUGAUGGAGGGGGGUAACUACUGGAAACGGUAGCUAAUACCGCAUAACGUCGCAAGACCAAAGAGGGGGACCUUCGGGCCUCUUGCCAUCGGAUGUGCCCAGAUGGGAUUAGCUAGUAGGUGGGGUAACGGCUCACCUAGGCGACGAUCCCUAGCUGGUCUGAGAGGAUGACCAGCCACACUGGAACUGAGACACGGUCCAG
rnacentral:rRNA from 1 species